ACUCCUACGGGAGGCAGCAGUGGGGAAUAUUGCACAAUGGGGGAAACCCUGAUGCAGCCAUGCCGCGUGUGUGAAGAAGGCCUUCGGGUUGUAAAGACACUUUCUAGUAGGGAGGAAGGUAGUGUAGUUAACACCUGCAUUAUUUGUACGUUACCUACAGAAGAAGCACCGGCUAACUCCGUGCCAGCAGCCGCGGUAAGUACGGAGGGUGCGAGCGUUAAUCGGAAUUACUGGGCGUAAAGCGCAUGCAGGCGGCCUGUUAAGUCAGAUGUGGAAGCCCGGGGCUUAACCUCGGAAUUGCAUUUGAAACUGGCAGGCUAGAGUCUUGUAGAGGGGUUAGAA
rnacentral:rRNA from 1 species